ensembl:lncRNA
GUAGUCCCACAUGAAUUAAAUGGAAGAAAUUAAAUAAAAUGCACAUUCUUAGAAAAAACCAAGAGCAGUAGGAUCUGCAUUUUCUCCUGGCCCAGACAGGGUUGGAUGCAGGAGUAUGUUCAGCAUUCCUUUCUGUGUAUAGGGCACAGUUUGAAGGGAAUCCAGAUGUGAAGGUCAGCUUCCAGAUGUGGGUUGUAUUUACUGGAUCAGGAUUCUCAGCAUAGGAAGUGUGUCAGCACUUUCUUCCAGUAUCUUAGGCCAGUCCAUAAGUGGGUGGGGACUGGAACAUCGCACGCAGGUGAUCAUUCCACCAGUGCAAGAAUCUCCACUUACCAGAGCGAACCAUCUCCCCACAAACUGUUCUGGGGGGCUAUCCUGACCCUCCAGAUCUGGAUAGUAUGGUCCCAAUGGAUACAGCCACCAACAGUGGUAGGGAGCAAGAAAGGCAAGAAAAGAGCUGGCGGAAUCCCCUUUUGCUGAAGCUGUUCUUUGACUUGCCAAUCAAGUGGAGUGGAAGAAGAAACCUUGUCCUUUCCCCCCUUCUAAAGCUUCUGGGCACACUGCUAGAUUUGAAGAGGUGUUUAUAGAUGACUUCAAUUAUCCUCCUCACAUAGACUGGGGACACGUAUUCUAGUCAAGACAAAGAGGUAAAACUGUGCCCUAGAACAGUUGGUCAUGGAAUCAACCAGGAAGUAUAGCUGUCUUAAGAUUUAUUUUUCUAAAAAAGAAGUAUUUUCAUAGUCAUUAAAGAAUUUAAAGUAGGCUUUGGAGCAGUGGUUUCUCAUUCUGUGUGCUUGUCAAACUAGCAAAGUGGCAAUGCACUCAGACACCAGCGUGUGUUGAAUUUUUCAGCUUUCAGAUUCCAAAUAUGCAGGGUGCUUAUUUUUUUGUAACAUGACCUGGGAAUGCACAAGGUGUUUUGGUUAAACUACUGCAAUUUAAUUUUGCUUGGUACAUAAAAUAUGUGUAAAAUCAAAUAGAAAUCAUUACAAAUGAUUGUCAAGUACUUGAAGUUAUACAUCAUCAUCAUCAUUAUUUAGCAUUACCUGACAUUUUCAGAAGGGAAAAUUAAAAUGCUUUGGUUUUCCAAAAGCAGUUUAUAUGCUUCUUCAUCAAACGUAGACAUACCAAGCUAAAUGUUGUUCAGUCACAAAAACAAUAGCAAAUUUGAAUUCCUCACCUCCAAAAAUCAUAUUUUAAAGACCACUCACUAAAGAAAUGUGCAAAAACCAAGUUUCACUCCUUAAAAUUGCAUGCCCUAGACGGCCAGCCUGGCCACCUGUUCAUCUUUAUACCUUCCCUGCCUAUACUGUCUCUUAGAAUCAAGAGCUGUUUUGAUGUAGUUACUAGACACUUCUGCUACUGAGAACUUAAUUAGUGUUCAGUGUUCCUAUGUAAAUAAAUGGAGGAAGGGACAAGAGAACCUCCAUAUUAUCCGACUGUCAUAACUAGAAAUUACCAUGAAAUUUACCACAGCUUCUUAAAAUCUCUCCAUUUUUAACCAUCAUUAUUUCAACAAACCCCAAAUCAUUAUUAAGAGUGUAGCAGGAAGUUGCAUCACGCUCUAUUGCCACUCGUACCAGCAGUGUGCUGUUAAAUCAUAACAAACUUUUUCCAUAUUCUUGUGAAAAUACAUCUUCCUGUUGCAUAAAAUAUUGUUAAAUAACUCUGGGCACAAGCCAGAAAAUGCUUGCCAAGACUGAGUUUAUGUGAAAGCAAUGGAAUGGAACGUAUUUGUGACUAAGAUUGCAGCGCAACCCUAUCACAGGUACCUAGGAGAAAGUUACACUGAACUCAGUAGGACUAACUUUUGGGUAAACAGUAUAAAAUUGCAGUGCAUCUUCUUUCAUUGCAACU